CCUAAGAGAUACGUGUUAUGUGCAGUGCUCACACAGAUUGUCUGAUGAAGAACGAGCAAAAGCGCGUCUGCGAAGCUGACAGAAGUCCCCUCCGUCUAGAGGCCUAGGACACCGCCCUUUCACGGCGGUAACAGGGGUUCGAAUCCCCUAGGUGACGCCAAUGCGCGGUAUGAGUGAAAGGCGUACCACUUAUCUGACGAGAGUCAGAGAAUAACUAAGCUAAUUCAAAUGAGUUAUCUUACUUAUUAUGCUCUUUAACAAUCUGGAACAAGCUGAAAAAUUGAAAACAAAUCAAUAUAUCAACGAGGUAUAUUGAUGAGUCUCUCAAAAUCUCAAACCUUAAAGUUUGUCACGCAAAGUUUAUCUUUGAAAGAGACACUUUCGGGUUGUGA
rnacentral:misc_RNA from 1 species